UACGUAGGGUCCGAGCGUUGUCCGGAAUUAUUGGGCGUAAAGAGCUCGUAGGCGGUCUGUCGCGUCGGAUGUGAAAAUCAGGGCUCAACCCUGGACCUGCAUUCGAUACGGGCAGACUAGAGUUCGGCAGGGAAGACUGGAAUUCCUGGUGUAGCGGUGAAAUGCGCAGAUAUCAGGAAGAACACCCGUGGCUAAGGCGGCUCUCUAGUACGGUACUGACGCUGAGACGCGAAAGCGUGGGGAGCGAACAGG
rnacentral:rRNA from 1 species